CGCGAAAGGCCCCUUCGGGGGCCGAGUAGAGUGGCGCACGGGUGAGUAACACGUAGGUAAUCUACCUCUGGGCGGGGAAUAACGACCGGAAACGGUCGCUAAUACCGCAUAAUGCAGCGGCACCACAUGGUGACAGUUGUUAAAGCGGGGGAUCGUAAGACCUCGCGCCUAGAGAUGAGCCUGCGGCGGAUUAGCUAGUUGGCAGGGUAACGGCCUACCAAGGCGACGAUCCGUAGCCGGCCUGAGAGGGCGGACGGCCACACUGGCACUGACAUACGGGCCAGACUCCUACGGGAGGCAGCAGUCGGGAAUUUUGGGCAAUGGGCGAAAGCCUGACCCAGCAACGCCGCGUGAAGGAUGAAGCUUUUCGGAGUGUAAACUUCAUAAGAAUGGGACGAAUAAGGAGGGGUUAACACCCCCUUUGAUGACGGUACCAUUUGUAAGCUCCGGCUAACUCCGUGCCAGCAGCCGCGGUAAUACGGGGGGAGCAAGCGUUGUUCGGAUUUACUGGGCGUAAAGGGCGCGUAGGCGGCGCAACAAGUCACUUGUGAAAUCUCCGGGCUUAACCCGGAGCGGCCAAGUGAUACUGUCGUGCUAGAGUGCGGAAGGGGCUACUGGAAUUCUCGGUGUAGCGGUGAAAUGCGUAGAUAUCGAGAGGAACACCUGCGGCGAAGGCGGGUAGCUGGGCCGACACUGACGCUGAGGCGCGAAAGCCAGGGGAGCGAACGGGAUUAGAUACCCCGGUAGUCCUGGCCUUA
rnacentral:rRNA from 1 species